GUCAAUUUGGCCGAGUGGUUAUGGCGUGUGACUCAAGCGAAAGCUUUCCAACAGCAGUUGGGGUUUCUCAUCACGAAAGUGGCAAGGGUUCGAAUCCCUUAGUUGACA